rnacentral:rRNA from 1 species
UACGGAGGAUGCAAGCGUUAUCCGGAUUCAUUGGGUUUAAAGGGUGCGUAGGCGGCCAUUUAAGUCAGCGGUGAAAUUUUGCAGCUUAACUGUAACAGUGCCGUUGAUACUGUUUGGCUAGGAUUUGGUUGUAGUGUGCGGAAUGUGUGGUGUAGCGGUGAAAUGCUUAGAUAUCACACAGAACACCGAUUGCGAAGGCAGCACACUAAGUCAUUAUUGACGCUGAGGCACGAAAGUGUGGGGAUCAAACAGGAUUA